rnacentral:tRNA from 1 species
AUUGAAACCAAAAAGAGGUCUAUCACUGUUAAUGAUAAAAUUGAUUAUAAUCCAAU